AUUGAACGCUGGCGGAAUGCUUUACACCUGUAAGNUCGAGCGGCAGCGCGGGGCAACCUGGCGGCGAGCGGCGAACGGGUGAGUAAUGCAUCGGAACAUGUCCAUGUCGUGGGGGAUAGCCCGGCGAAAGCCGGAUUAAUACCGCAUACGCCCGAGAGGGGAAAGUGGGGGACCGCAAGGCCUCACGCGAUUGGGUUGGCCGAUGUCCGAUUAGCUAGUUGGUGGGGUAAAGGCUUACCAAGGCGAUGAUCGGUAGCUGGUCUGAGAGGAUGAUCAGCCACACUGGGACUGAGACACGGCCCAGACUCCUACGGGAGGCAGCAGUGGGGAAUUUUGGACAAUGGGGGCAACCCUGAUCCAGCCAUUCCGCGUGAGUGAAGAAGGCCUUCGGGUUGUAAAGCUCUUUUGUCCGGAACGAAACGGUGAACGUGAAUAUCGUUCGCUACUGAC
rnacentral:rRNA from 1 species